GACAGAGGUGCCGAGCGUUAGGCGGAAUCACUGGGCGUAAAGGGCGCGUAGGCGGCCGAUCAAGUCGGGGGUGAAAGCCUGUGGCUCAACCACAGAAUUGCCUUCGAUACUGUUUGGCUUGAGACCGGAAGAGGUUAGUGGAACUGCGAGUGUAGAGGUGAAAUUCGUAGAUAUUCGCAAGAACACCAGUGGCGAAGGCGGCUGACUGGUCCGGUUC
rnacentral:rRNA from 1 species